rnacentral:tRNA from 1 species
GGUUGUGGCUCAGUGGUAAAGUGCUCACCUAGCAUAUACGAGGCCCUGAGUUCGAUCCUCAGCACCA